CUCACGUGGAGCCGCUCCGGGUUUUCCCCCCGGCGGAGGAUCCGCCGCUCUCCCCCGCCGGCUGUGCUGGCUGCAGCCGGCGGCGUUCAGGCACCGCUUGAAAUUCGCGUUCGUAAAAAAAAUCGACGCCCUCAACUCCUUGUGCGGCGCUAACGCCGCCCUCCUUCACGCAACCCUUCCCCACAGCGAUAUGAAAGCCUUUCGAUAGAAGCUCUCCUCUAUUUUUCUGGUUUGCUCCCCGUGCCAUCUUUGCAGUGGCUGAAGGUGGGCAUUUCCCCCCCUUCUUUUACACGCCGCCUUCCAAAGUUUUUUUUUAUUGUUUCCUUCUCCGUGCUGAUGGUUCAGACGUAGAAACUUUAUGAAGGGACCUCAGGUUACACCGAUCUCUUGCUCUGGCAAUUCCACCUAUUCGGACGUGCCCCUUCAAAACAAGCCUUUUUAAGGCUGCUUUCUUAGGAAGUCAUUAAAAUGACAGCGUAGCAUUUAAAAAAUUAAUCUAUCUCCUAAUCGCCACGACAUUUGUGUUGAAAUUACUCAUGGAAAUAAUAGUUCUAAGACAUGCCUUCACAUCUAACCUACAGCUAUAUAACAGUAAAGAUUACAUUAAGGAGAAAACGAUCAGCAGGCUAACUCAACCAUGGGCACAAUAGCAGCUUUCUCAAGGCUGAAAUUGUCACUGAAAUCCAUUUUUUAUCUUCACUCGUUCACUGGGGGACUAACGGUGAAACAAGUGCCAUCUCGAGCAUUGGCACAGAGCGCUGCGUUCACCAUUGGCACAGACCGCCCUUUAAGAAAGUAAGAAGAAAGAAGAAGGUGCGGCACAUGGGGUGGAUAAGGAGGUAACUCAGAUAAGGAGGCUUCAUCACUGCAAGGAAGAGUGUCCUCAUGGCACGCACCCUCGCUAUUUAUUCAGCUGGUGGGUUUGAUUUCCGUGCACCAGUUGUUAAGACGAACGAAGCAAUAUAAGAAGAAUCUUAUCAGGUCUUGGUAAUUCGUUAUUAUGUGGUUGCACUUGACACUCAAAUUAGUGAAACAAAGGGCCAACCUGAUGAAUCAUUGAAAGCAAAUUAUCUGUGGCUCUCCAAGGCUUCCUGCUAUAGACUGCAAGAGGCAGCUCAUGCAUUUUGCAGUGCUGUUUCUCGACUAUCAGCAAGCAGGUUGGUAGCGAAUGACCCUUCUAAUAUAUUUGGCCAUGCCAAACUGAAGCAUUGCUUUUAUGAUUUAGGCUCGUGGCUCCGUGUUAGACAUCUGUUACCCAGCAUACGUCCAACCAAAGCCAUUCAACUUGGGGGUUUGGGUAGAAGAGACUGAUUCAAAAAUCUUCUGAUAAAGGAGACAAACUAAAUUUUCUAAUGUGAUGCUGAGCUUGACUUGAAUAAUGUCCAGCUUUCUGCUCCUCAAAUAUUUAAUUAGAUUGCUGUGAUGGUCAUAGGCAGCAUUCUUGGCAGUCAAAUGCACGCUGAAACAAAUACAGCAGCGUAAUGUAAAUCCUACGGAGGCAUUUAUGUGUAAGCAUGGGAACUUUAGAAAUCAUCUGGAAAACAGCCCAGCCAUUUAAUUUUAAAUUCCUAUGAAUUUAAUAGUUUUAGCUAUUGGGAGGCUUGCUUUUUAAUAGUAUUUGAAUGCACAUACGUGUGCAGGUAAGCAUCUGAAUAGCCAGCAGUUAGACUUGAGAAGAGUAGAAGAGCACAGGCUGAACGCAUAAGCAUUUAAUCAGCUUGGAAGCAAGUCAAUGAAGAAGGUAUCUUAAAGUGCAUCUGACUUCCCACUUCAAGCAAUUUAUUUUCAACAUGCAGCCAAUACUGAGCUGGAUUUCUGACCGGUCAACAUUUUGCUGUAGUCCUGCAUACCCGGGGCAUUGCAGGUGCUUUGUCUCAUCCAUCAACAGUUUUGUUUGUCACUUUUGGCUGACAUGUUUCUCCAUGGUUUGACACUCAGUGGGAUACAAAGCACAGGCAAAGACUGUGUUCUUCACACAAAGAUACCGCUCUUCACAGCACUGGUUAUGUCAGUGUCCAUGUAAUUCUCUUCCUACCUAAGAGCUACAGAAUAAAACACAACUGCAAUUUCCUAGCCCAGGAAGAAAAAAAGUGGCAGGGUCACUUCAUAGAUUUUUCAACAAAGCCUGACUGAAGAGAACUUCCCAUCUGCAUGGAAGGGACUGGGCUGCCCCCUCCUCAAUUGACCCUAUUCAUUGUCACCUUUCUGGUAGCUGCACGCUGACAGAGGAGUCACAUGAAAUGAAAAUCUGCUUGUGGCAGCUUUGGGAGAAGCUAAGACGCUAAUAACAAAUAAAAAUCCACGCAGUGUGAGAAAUCCAUGUAAGAAGUAGUGAUGCAGAUAGAGACAAACUUCUCAAAACUGACAACUUACUUGGAGCAAAAGAGCUCUUUCACCAGUUGCUCAAUAAUGCUGCUCAAACAGUAUCAUCCCUGAGCUGCUGGGAUGAAUGAAAUAUCUAUCCCUUUAUCACACAUUGUUUAGCUUGUCCUCCAGAGAUUUCCCUGUGCAGAUAUAGUAUAUAUCUAGACAUUGGACUACAUCUGUAUAGAUAGAGUAUAUAUAUUUCCCUGUGUAGCCUUGUAGAGACACAAAACACCCUUUUUAAACAAACUAUGGCUGAUUUCCCACAGAGUUCAUAAAAAGACAACAAAGCAUAAUCUACACCUUAAUAUCAUGAAGAAUUCUAAGCAUGUUUUCCAUGUUAUGGGUGGCCUGGAAUGAAUACUUGAUACUCUUCAUCCAUGCCAUAGCUUCUCAUCAACUGGAUGCCAAAAUAUUGAGUGCAAGUUAGGACGAGAGCAAAGACUAGAAUUUCUGCAGAUGACCCCAAUGUUGUGUGCUGGGACAUUUCUCCUGAGCACCCUCUAUGUGACUCCAGCAAUCUCCAGCUCUGCUGUCCCUCUCUCCUUUCUACCGUACUUGAAGGCUGUAGGCGGGUAUACAGCAUGCCUCCAAACUGGAAGCUGCAGCUACUCUACAGCCUGGAAUGAAAGCCCAGACAGUCUUAAUGGUUUGAUUGUUUUGUAACUCAUUAAGGGCAGUAUCUACUUUCCUGCAAAGAAAAGAAUGACAGAAUAAUGUAGCUCUAUGCCCAGCUUCAAAGGGAGUAAGAAAAUGGUGUUUUUUUGUUUAUCUCCCAUCCUUCACAAAAGACUGAGAAAAAGAGGGAUCUGGUGUGAUAUAAGUAGUUAAACUCUAGUUUUAUCCUCCAUCUUGGAAACAUAAAUAAAGAUAUUGAAUACUUCAGAAACAAUCUGUCUAGCUCAACCGAGAGGACCCAUCUACUUGAAGAACACAUGAAAUGCUGCAUUGAUCUAAUCACUUUUUUAGGGGAAAGUUAAACAAGGCGCAUCCUGGAAUAUACUAC
ensembl:lncRNA